UACGUAGGAGGCGAGCGUUGUCCGGAAUCAUUGGGCGUAAAGAGCGCGCAGGCGGUCGUUCAAGUCGCGUGUGAAAGCCCCCCGGCUCAACUGGGGAGGGUCACGCGAUACUGAUCGACUCGAAGGCAGGAGAGGGUAGUGGAAUUCCCGGUGUAGUGGUGAAAUGCGUAGAUAUCGGGAGGACACCAGUGGCGAAGGCGACUACCUGGCCUGUUUCUUGACGCUGAGGCGCGAAAGCUAGGGGAGCAAACGGGAU
rnacentral:rRNA from 1 species